rnacentral:rRNA from 1 species
AAUCAACCGAGAUUCCCCUAGUAACGGCGAGCGAACGGGGAACAGCCCAUCGCCCAAUCCGCCGCCAGCCAGGCGGUCCGGAGGUUUGGCGUAUAGGAGAGACGCUUCCGGGCACCGACUCCGGUGCAAGUCCCCCUGACUGGGGCUCUUACCCCGAGAGGGUGCAAGGCCCGUAGCGGCCGGAAGUCGGUCCCGGAUGUCCUCUCCUGGGAGUCGGGUUGCUUGAGAGUGCAGCCCCAAUCAGGUGGUAAACUCCAUCUAAGGCUAAAUACGACCUGGAGACCGAUAGCGAACAAGUACCGUGAGGGAAAGUUGAAAAGGACUUUGAAGAGAGAGUUCAAGAGUACGUGAAACCGUUCGGAGGUAAACGAGUGGGCCCUCGAAGUGAGAAGGCGGGGGGACUCAGCCGAACGUCGAGAGCCCGCCGGCCGGUCCGCGCUUCCCAACCAGGACGCGGCCGGCCGGUCAACGGCUCCGGCGGGCGGCGCAUUUCUUCCCGUCCUCCGACGCUGCGACCGGUCGGGUGCGCCACGAGCAGUCGGCCUUACUCGCGGGAAACGGAAGGAGCCCGGGACGGCGCUUCGGCGCCGUCCCCGGUGUUUGUCCGUCCCGCAAUCGAGUAGCCGUUCGCCCGACCGCAGGACGCGGCCCUCAGGGGCCUCGCCGCGCCCUCUCCCCCACCCGGGGGGGAUCGGAGCUCGCCUCGGAAGGGAGGCCGUCGCUUAAUCCCUGGUCACACCCUGGGUGUACCCGGGGCGGCGGCCCCCGCUGGCCGGGGCGAUUUCGAGCGGGCGCAGGCGGUCCGCAGCGAGUAGGUCGNNNNNNNNNNUGACCCGUUCCUUGAAACACGGACCAAGGAGUUUAACAUGCACCGCGAGUCACGGGGUCUUGCACAGGCCCAGAGGCGCAAUGAAAGUGAAGGGCGGCACCCCGCCGUCCGCGUUGGGAUCCGUCGGCCUCGGCCGGCGGCGCACCAACGGCUCGUCCGGGCCGCCACGUCGGCCGGGCGAAGCGAGAGCGUGCACGUUGAGACCCGAAAGAUGGUGAACUAUGGCUGGGCAGGACGAAGCCAGAGGAAACUCUGGUGGAGGUCCGCAGCGGUUCUGACGUGCAAAUCGAUCGUCAGACCUGGCUAUAGGGGCGAAAGACUAAUCGAACCAUCUAGUAGCUGGUUCCCUCCGAAGUUUCCCUCAGGAUAGCUGGCGCUCGGGAGGAAGCAGUCUCAUCCGGUAAAGCGAAUGAUUAGAGGCCUUGGGGCCGAAAAGACCUCAACCUAUUCUCAAACUUUCAAUGGGUGAGAAGUCCGGUUUGCUUGAUUGANGCCCGGACGUUCNNUCGGAUGCGAGUGCCCAGUGGGCCACUUUUGGUAAGCAGAACUGGNCGCUGUGGGAUGAAGCCAAACGACGGGUUAAGGGGCCCGAUGCAGGAACGCUCAUGAGAACCCAUGAAAAGGUGUUGGGUUGCUAUAGACAGCAGGACGGGUGGCCAUGGAAGUCGGAAUCCGCUAAGGAGUGUGUAACAACUCACCUGCCGAAGCAACUAGCCCUGAAAAUGGAUGGCGCUUCAGCGUCGACCCCAUACCCGUCCGCCGCGGCGGAGAUGCGAUCGCAUUAUGCCGCGGUGAGUAGGAGGGCGCGGGGGCGCGCGUGGAAGGUGCCGGGCGUGAGCCCGCCUGGAGCCGCCCCCGGUGCAGAUCUUGGUGGUAGUAGCAAAUACUCAAGUGAGAACCUUGAGGACUGAGGUGGAGAAGGGUUCCAUGUGAACAGCAGUUGAACAUGGGUCAGUCGGUCCUAAGGGAUGUCCGAAAGGAUUUCCGAAGGGGGGACGUCUCACUUGUCCCCCCCAUGACCGAAAGGGAAUCGGGUUAAUAUUCCCGAACCCGGACACGGAGAUCGGUCCCUUCGGGGAUACGUGCGGUAACGCAAACGACCUCGGAGACGUCGACGGGGGUCCCGGGAAGAGUUGUCUUUUCUUUGUAAGGGUUCGGCUCCCUGGAAUCGGCUCGCCCGGAGAUAGGGAUGCUGAACCCGUAAAGCACCGCGCCUCUUGUGGUGUCCGGAGCGCUCCCGUCGGCCCUUUGAAAAUCCCGAGCGAGAGUUGGUUUGGAUUUUCGUUGCCGGCCCGUACCCAUAUCCCGCAGC